GAUGAACGCUGGCGGCGUGCUUAACACAUGCAAGUCGAACGGUGAAGCCCAGCUUGCUGGGUGGAUCAGUGGCGAACGGGUGAGUAACACGUGAGCAACCUGCCCUGGACUCUGGGAUAAGCGCUGGAAACGGCGUCUAAUACUGGAUAUGAGACGUGAUCGCAUGGUCAACGUCUGGAAAGAUUUUUCGGUCUGGGAUGGGCUCGCGGCCUAUCAGCUUGUUGGUGAGGUAAUGGCUCACCAAGGCGUCGACGGGUAGCCGGCCUGAGAGGGUGACCGGCCACACUGGGACUGAGACACGGCCCAGACUCCUACGGGAGGCAGCAGUGGGGAAUAUUGCACAAUGGGCGGAAGCCUGAUGCAGCAACGCCGCGUGAGGGAUGACGGCCUUCGGGUUGUAAACCUCUUUUAGCAAGGAAGAAGCUUUUGUGACGGUACUUGCAGAAAAAGCGCCGGCUAACUACGUGCCAGCAGCCGCCGUAAGAC
rnacentral:rRNA from 1 species